UACGUAGGAUGCAAGCGUUGUCCGGAUUUACUGGGCGUAAAGCGCGCGCAGGCGGCACACCAAGUACCCUAUGAAAUCUCCUUGCUCAACGGGGGAGGGUGUUGGGUAGACUGGUGAGCUAGAGGGACGGUAGAGGGGGGUAGAAUUGCUGGUGUAGCGGUGAAAUGCGUAGAGAUCAGCAGGAAUACCCCGUGGCGAAGGCGGCCCCCCUGGGCCGUACC
rnacentral:rRNA from 1 species